rnacentral:rRNA from 1 species
UCGAGGAUCUUCGGCAAUGGGCGCAAGCCUGACCGAGCGAUGCCGCGUGCGCGACGAAGGCCUUCGGGUUGUAAAGCGCGAAGGUGGGGAGAAACGCCGAAAGGCUUGAUCUAUCCACAGUAAGCUCGGGCUAAGUUCGUGCCAGCAGCCGCGGUAAGACGAACCGAGCGAACGUUGUUCGGAAUCACUGGGCUUAAAGGGCGCGUAGGCGGGCUGUCAAGUCUGGGGUGAAAUCCCGCGGCUCAACCGCGGAACUGCCUCAGAUACUGACGGUCUCGAGGGGGGUAGGGGCGAGCGGAACUGUGAGUGGAGCGGUGAAAUGCGUUGAUAUUCACAGGAACUCCGGUGGCGAAGGCGGCUCGCUGGACCCCUUCUGACGCUGAGGCGCGAAAGCCAGGGGAGCAAACG